GGGGAUGUAGUUCAAUAGUAGAGCACUUGCCUAGUAUGCAUGAGGCCUUGGGUUCUAUCCCCCAGCCUCG
rnacentral:tRNA from 1 species